GAUGAACGCUGGCGGCGUGCCUAAUACAUGCAAGUCGAGCGAAUGGAUUAAGAGCUUGCUCUUAUGAAGUUAGCGGCGGACGGGUGAGCAACACGUGGGUAACCUGCCCAUAAGACUGGGAUAACUCCGGGAAACCGGGGCUAAUACCGGAUAACAUUUUGAACCGCAUGGUUCGAAAUUGAAAGGCGGCUUAGGCUGUCACUUAUGGAUGGACCCGCGUCGCAUUAGCUAGUUGGUGAGGUAACGGCUAACCAAGGCAACGAUGCGAAGCCGACCUGAGAGGGUGAUCGGCCACACUGGGACUGAGACACGGCCCAGACUCCUACGGGAGGCAGCAGUAGGGAAUCUUCCGCAAUGGACGAAAGUCUGACGGAGCAACGCCGCGUGAGUGAUGAAGGCUUUCGGGUCGUAAAACUCUGUUGUUAGGGAAGAACAAGUGCUAGUUGAAUAAGCUGGCACCUUGACGGUACCUAACCAGAAAGCCACGGCUAACUACGUGCCAGCCGCCGCGGUAA
rnacentral:rRNA from 1 species